rnacentral:lncRNA from 1 species
AAGUAGUCAGAGGAGGCGCCAAAAGAGCCGAAAGAAGAGACGCUCCCUCCUUCCUCCAUGGUCAACAAUGGAGGCAUGAAUGAGCUCAGCCAUGAGCUCAUCCUUCUCUGUCUGUGGUCUAUAUAAGACUCUGUCUGAGAGCAGAGCAGAGUGUGGGAGAAAGACAGUGGGCAGGGCGAGAAAUUCUGUAAAGAGUACAGAGAGGCUGUGAGAGCGAGACUGAGAGAUUGAGAGAGUAGAUGAUUGAGUGAGUUGAGUGUGAUCUCCUCCUUUGUAUUCAUUGUAAUUCAUUCUGAGAUAGUGAAUUAUCAGAUCCUCUCCGUGGACGUAGGCAUUGUUGGCCGAAUCACGUAAAUCUUGUCUUGUGUG